rnacentral:pre_miRNA from 1 species
CUCCUACUCCCUCCGUCCGAAAAUACUUGUCAUCAAAAUGGACAAAAAGGGAUGUAUCUAGAACUAAAAUACAUCUAGAUACAUCCCCUUUUAUUCAUUUUGAUGACAAGUAUUUCCGGACGGAGGGAGUACUUC